AAGAAGACGCAUAAACAGAAGAAAAAUGGUGGCAGUGAGCAGGGCAUAGCUCAGACUUAUCUUUGAGGAAAGCAACAAAAGUAGCUACAUCUGUUAGCCGGGAGAGGGCCUGGGUUUAUUGCAUGGGUAGUGUGGAAAGCCUAUAUAGUUUAGUUUUAUCCUUAGUGGUUAUUUUACUUGCCAUGUCUACCAACGUUGAUGUUGGAGGUGAAAAGCUUGCCUCUGUAGAUUUCGAGAUAUUCGGGAACGUCCAGGGUGUUUGCUUCAGAAUGUACACAGAAGACCAGGGGAAGAAGCUGGGUGUUAAUGGCUGGGUGAAGAACACACGAGAAGGAACCGUGGUUGGCCAGUUACAGGGGCCCCAUGACAAGGUCAAGGAAAUGAAGGUGUGGCUGAGUAAGGUGGGGAGUCCCAGCUCACGCAUUGACCACGCCGAGUUCUCUAACGAGAGGGACAUCCCCAAACUGGAAAUCCAUGGCUUUGGCACUCGCUACUGACUGCCAGAGCAGCGACAAAGCACCGCAGCAGCAAGUAUCCACCCUGAGGCCUGCCACAAAGGAAUUAGUAGCUUCUCAACUUCUAAGGGCAUUCAACAAGGUGUCGGAAACAUUCCACAGGGAUGUUGGUCCAAGCUGACGCGAUGGCAUUACCUAGUUGCUGCAGAUUGGACAGCAGCACAUCCAUGCUGUGAACAGCCCGUUCCAUCUCAUCCCAAAGAUGCUCCAUUGGGUUGAGGUUUGGGGUCUGCGCAGGCCACUCGAUUAAACUGAACUUUCUGUCGUGUUCCGGCCAAUGUUUUUUCACUCCUCAAUUUUCCAGUGUACGCCAUCGCGUGCCCAUUGGAGCCCCUUCUUGUUUUUAGCUGAUACGAGUGGAACCCAGUGUGAUCAGCAGAUGCGAUAGCCCAUCCGUGACAAGGAUCGAUGAGUUCUGCGUUCCGAGAUGCCGUUCUGCACACCACUGUUGUACUGCACCGUUAUGUCUGUUUGUGGCCCGCCUAUUAGCUUGCACGAUUCUUACCAUUAUCCUUUUGACCUCUCUCAUCAAUGACCAGUUUAUUCCCACAGGACUGGCGCUGACUGGAUGUUGUUUGUCGCACCAUUCUCUGUAAACCCUAAACACUGUCGUGCGUGAAAUACCCAUGAGCACGACCGUUUGAGAUACUGGAUCCGGUGCACCUGCCACAUGAUUACACCGCACUCAAAGUCGCUUAGGUCACUUGUUUUGCCCAUUCAAACGUUCAAUCGAACAGUAACUGGAUGCCUGUAUGCCUGCUUUUUAUACAGUUCCUUCAGAAAGUAUUCACACCCCUUUACUUUUUCCAAAUGUUGUUGUAUUACAGGCUGAAUUUGAAAUGUAUUACAUUUGGAUUUUUUUGGGUCACUGGCCUACACACAAUUGCUACUGAUGAUACAUCAGUAGCAAUACAAGGAUAUAACAUUUAUAGAAGAGACAGAAAUGCUUAUGGGGGAGGAUUUGCUGUAUAUAUUCAGAGCCAUAUCCCUGUAAUGCUUAGAGAAGUUCUUUUGUCAAGUGUUAUUGAAGUGUUGUGGUUGCAGGUUCACUUGGCUCAUCUAAAGCCUUUUCUUUUGGGGUGUUGCUAUAGGCCGCCAAGUGCUAUCAGUCUAUCUAAAUAAUAUGUGUGAAAUGCUUGAUAGUGUAUGUGAUGUAAACAGAGAGGUCUACUUUCUUGGGGACCUGAAUAUUGACUGGUGUUCAUCAAGCUGUCCGCUCAAGAGGAAGGUUCUCACUGUAACCAGUGCCUGUAAUCUGGUUCAGGUUAUUAAUCAACCUACCAGGGUGUUUAUAAACACUACACAAACAAGAUCUUCCACAUGUAUCGAUCACAUUUUUACUAAUGCUGUAGAACUUUGUUCUGAAGCUAUAUCCGUACCCAUUGGAUGCAGUGAUCACAAUAUAGUGGCUAUAUCCAGGAAAGCCACAUUUCCAACAGCUGGGCCUAAAAUAGUGUAUAAGAGAUCAUACAAACGAUGUGACUCUUAUGUGGAUGAUGUUAAAAAGAUUUGUUGGUCUGAUGUGAUUGAGGAGCAUCCAGACGCUGCACUUGAUGCAUUUAUGAAAUUGCUUCUUCCGAUUGAUAAACAUGCACCUGUUCAGAAACUGACAGUUAAGGCUCCAUGGAUUGAUGAGGAAUUUAAAAAACUGUAUGGUUGAAAAAGAAGUGGCUAAUAGGUCUGGCUGUACAUCUGACUGGCUUACUUACUGCAAAUUGAGACAUUUUGUGACUAAACUCAACAAAAAGAAGAAACUUUAUUAUGAAGCCAAGAUCCAUGAUAUAAAGAAUGAUGGAAACAAACUUGAACUUUAAAUUAAAUUAUGGGCAGAAAGACAAAUUCAACUCCAUCUUUUAUUGAAUCAGAUGGCUUAUUCAUCACAAAACCAUUUGAUGUUGCCAAUUAUUUUAAGGAUUAUUUAAUUUGCAAACUUAGGCAGGGAAUUCCCACAACAAAAAGUGAGCAAUUAUAUGUAUGUAUAAAAAACAAAUACUGAAAGAAAAGCAGUGCAAGUUUGAAUUUUGUAAAGUUAGUGUAGGAGAGGUGGAAAAAUGAUUGUUAACGAUUAACAAUCUUUAACAAUAAUGACAAACCUCCUGGCAUUGGCAACUUAGAUGGAAAUGGUGGCUGACUCUAUAGCCACUCCUAUCUGAGUGGUAAAGCGGCCUUUACUGGUUCUAAACAGCAGACCUAUCAGCUUGCUGCCAGCUGUUAGCAAACUGUUGGGAACAAAUGUGUUUGACCAAAUACAAUGCUAUUUCGCUGUAAAAAAAUUAACAACAGACUUUCAACAUGCUUAUAGAGAUGGGCACUCAACAUGUACAGCACUGACACAAAUGACAGAUGAUUGGUUGAAGGAAAUUGAUAAUAAGAACAUUGUGGGAGUUGUACUGUUAGAUUUCAGUGCAGCCUUUGAUAUUAUUGACCAUAACCAGAACAAAUUCAAGAAAACGUACAGUAUUAUAUAGAGCCCUUACUGCAUGGAACUUCCUUCCGUCUCAUAUUACUCAAAUAAACAGCAAACCUGAUUUCAAAAAACAGAUAAAGCAACACCUCGUGGCACAACACCUCUCCCCAAUUUGACCUAGUUUGUGUGGAUGCAUUAAUAUGUAGGCUACGUGUACCUUUUUAAGAAUGUAUGUAGUUCUGUCCUUAAGCUGUUCUUGUCUAAUGAUCUGUAUUAUGUAAUUCUGUAUUGUGUUUCAUGUUUUGUGUGGACCCCAGGAAGAGUAGCUGCUGCUUUUGCAACAGCUAAUGGGGAUCAUAAUAAAAUACCAAAAAAAUAAUGUAAAAUUAGAAUAAUGUUCCAAACAAAAAUUCAACCCAUUUGUUAUGGCAAGCCUAAAUACAUUUGAAUGACUACCUCCUCUCUGUACCCCACACAUACAAUUAUAUAUAAGCUCCCUCAGUCAAGCAGUGCAUUUUAAACACAAAUUCAACCACAAAGACCAGGGAGGUUCCAAAGCCUCGCAAAGAAGGGCACCUAUUAGUAUAUGUUACAUGAGAAAACAACUGAGGAUGGAUCAACAACAUUGAAGUGACUCCACAAUACUAACCUAAAUGAGUGAAAAGAAGGAAGUCUGUAAAGAAUAAACCUAUUCCAAAAUAUGCAAUCUGUUGGCAAUGAUGCACUUAAGUAAUACGGCAAAAUACUGUAUGUGGCAAAGAAAAAACGUUUUUUCCUGAAUACAAAGCGUUAUAUUUGGGGCAAAUCCAACACAUCACUGAGUACCAUUCUUCAUAUAAUACCAAGCAUAGUGGUGGCUGCAUCAUGUUAUGGUUAUGCUUGUAAUCGUUAAGGACUGGGGAGUUUUUCAGGAUAAAAAAGAAACAGAAUAGAGUUAAAUACACAGCAAAAACCUAGAGAAAAACCUGGUUCAGUCUGCUUUCCACCAGGCACUGGGAGAUUAAUUCACCUUUCAGCAGGACAAAAACCUAAAACAUAAGGCCAACUCUACAUUGGAGUUGUUUACCAAGAAGACAGUGAAUGUUCCUGAGCGGCCAAGUUACAGUUUUGACUUAAAUCUACUGAUAAUCUAUGGUAAGACCUGUAAAUGUUUGUCUAGCAAUGUUCAACAACCAAUUAGACAAAGCUUGAAGAAUUGUAUAAAGAAUGAUGGGCAAAUGUUGCACAAUCCAGGUGUGGAAAGCUCUUAGAGAGAAUUACCAAGAAAGACCCACAGCUGUAAUCACCGCCAAAAGUGUAGUGAGUACUUAUGAAAUUAGACAUUUCUGUAUUUAAUUUUCUAUAAAUUUGCAAAAACCUCUAAAAAUAUGUUUUGCCUUUGUCAUUAUUGGGUAUUGUGUGUAGAUGGGUGAGUGUAGAUGUGUAGAUGUUAUUUAAUUCAUUUUGAAUUCAGGCUGUAACACAACAAAAUGCGGAAUAAAUCAAGAGGUAUGAAUACUUUCUGAAGGCAUUGUAGCAAGCCACGGAAAAUGGAGCGAUCCACUUUCAUGAACGGGUAUUACCUAAUAAACUGCCCAGUAAGUGUAUCAUUGAACUUUAUCAUUAUAGAAUGCCCUUCAUACAAGUUCACUACACGAAUGUCCAUGAUCCAAAUAACAACAUUAAUGUUAUUGUAUUGGGAUGUAGGUUACAGUAAAGUAAAAUCAUUACAAGCUGAAAGCCUGUCCAGUCAUCACAAGCUGAAAACCUGCCUAUUUGAGUGAGAUGUAGCUCCACCUGUGGAAGAAAUCAACCAAUAUUGGCAGUGCUUUGCCCUCCUCACAACUCUCUUUCCUAUGCAAGGAUAGCCAGCGUUUGUGUACUUCCCUUAAAGGGAAACUUCACCGCUAGAGACUUUUUGGGGUGUUUUUCCAGAGAGUGAUGAGAGGGUGAUUCAGACAAUUAUGAUGUCAUUGGUUGAUUGAGCUUGCUGUCUGAUCAAAAAAUGAAUGGAGUUACGUUUCUAAGCAAUUAUUGUGGCCUUUGUGUUUCGCCGACUGCAUGAUCACGCAGGUAGAUAUGGUUGUCCUUGUUCAAUAGAGCCAUUGGACUUUUCUCAACGGUGUUCCUAUCUGCCAGGACAUUGCAGGAUAUCUAGAUUGACUCGUUUUACCUGGCUUUGCAAAGACGGGAGCCAUACUUCCUUGUUCCCACCCUCGAAAGCAAGCUUUUAAAAAUGGGGGCGGUACUAGUUUACAGGUUCACAGGAGCUAUGUUACCGAGAAUGCUCAAUAAUUUGCUGCAAUGACUGCUUCCUCUUUCUAAGAAGAGCUGAACGACAAAUCCUUUAUUUUCUUUUACAUAGGAACAUACAGCCCUAUUUAUUUGAGCCAGAAUACACUGAAGAGAAGUUGAGAUGGCAAGAAAAAUAAUUACGAGACCAGCAAGCAGUGUUGUUCAGUACAAUUUGGUGAUCAAUUCGGCGAGUUGUGUUGUUUGCUAAACCUAAAAUGUACUGUAGUCUAACGUUGUAGCUAGCUAACUAGCCCCAGUGCCUCUCAUUAUGAGCAAAAUUUGAGAAAUGUUUUGAUGAUGAUACUUGAGAAUAAAGGAAUGACUUUGGCUUGAUGACUCAUAUUAGACUUGGGGUACGUAUACCUGUGUGUUGUAGCUAGCUAGCUAGUUAACAUGUCUGUGAGAUGUCUCAUAUUCUACUGCAUGUUGCUACAGUAGGAAUACAGACAGUAUUCCAUGAAUGUGUAAUAGCGUUUUCUUCUUUCUC